UACGUAGGGUGCAAGCGUUAAUCGGAAUUACUGGGCGUAAAGCGUGCGCAGGCGGUGAUGUAAGACCGAUGUGAAAUCCCCGGGCUUAACCUGGGAAUGGCAUUGGUGACUGCACGGCUAGAGUGUGUCAGAGGGGGGUAGAAUUCCACGUGUAGCAGUGAAAUGCGUAGAGAUGUGGAGGAAUACCGAUGGCGAAGGCAGCCCCCUGGGAUAACACUGACGCUCAUGCACGAAAGCGUGGGGAGCAAACAGG
rnacentral:rRNA from 1 species